rnacentral:rRNA from 1 species
GUCACGGCUUACUACGUGCCAGCAGCCGCGGUAAUACGUAGGUGGCAAGCGUUAUCCGGAUUUAUUGGGCGUAAAGGGUGCGCAGGCGGUCUAUUAAGUUUGGGGUGAAAGCGUGAAGCUCAACUUCAUUUAGCCUCAAAAACUGGUAGACUAGAGUGCAGAAGAGGGUAGUGGAAUUCCAUGUGUAGCGGUAAAAUGCGUAGAUAUAUGGAGGAACACCAGUGGCGAAGGCGGCUACCUGGUCUGUAACUGACGCUCAGGCACGAAAGCGUGGGGAGCAAAUAGGAUUAGAUACCCUAGUAGUCCACGCCCUAAACGAUGAGAACUAAGUGUUGGAGUAAUUCAGUGCUGCAGUUAACGCAAUAAGUUCUCCGCCUGAGGAGUAUGCACGCA